UAAUGAGGUGGCAGAGUGUAUGAGGCAGUGGAUUGUAAAUUCAUAUAGAAAGGUUUAAAUCCUUUUCUUGUUAU
rnacentral:tRNA from 1 species